UAAGGGCGCACGGUGGAUGCCUUGGCACUAGAAGCCGAUGAAGGACGUUACUAACGACGAUAUGCUUUGGGGAGCUGUAAGUAAGCUUUGAUCCAGAGAUUUCCGAAUGGGGAAACCCAGCAUGAGUUAUGUCAUGUUAUCGAUAUGUGAAUACAUAGCAUAUCAGAAGGCACACCCGGAGAACUGAAACAUCUUAGUACCCGGAGGAAGAGAAAGAAAAUUCGAUUCCCUUAGUAGCGGCGAGCGAAACGGGAAGAGCCCAAACCAACAAGCUUGCUUGUUGGGGUUGUAGGACACUCUAUACGGAGUUACAAAGGACGACAUUAGACGAAUCAUCUGGAAAGAUGAAUCAAAGAAGGUAAUAAUCCUGUAGUCGAAAAUGUUGUCUCUCUUGAGUGGAUCCUGAGUACGACGGAGCACGUGAAAUUCCGUCGGAAUCUGGGAGGACCAUCUCCUAAGGCUAAAUACUCUCUAGUGACCGAUAGUGAACCAGUACCGUGAGGGAAAGGUGAAAAGCACCCCGGAAGGGGAGUGAAAUAGAACCUGAAACCGUGUGCUUACAAGUAGUCAGAGCCCGUUAAUGGGUGAUGGCGUGCCUUUUGUAGAAUGAACCGGCGAGUUACGAUUUGAUGCAAGGUUAAGCAGUAAAUGUGGAGCCGUAGCGAAAGCGAGUCUGAAUAGGGCGUUUAGUAUUUGGUCGUAGACCCGAAACCAGGUGAUCUACCCUUGGUCAGGUUGAAGUUCAGGUAACACUGAAUGGAGGACCGAACCGACUUACGUUGAAAAGUGAGCGGAUGAACUGAGGGUAGCGGAGAAAUUCCAAUCGAACCUGGAGAUAGCUGGUUCUCUCCGAAAUAGCUUUAGGGCUAGCCUCAAGUGAUGAUUAUUGGAGGUAGAGCACUGUUUGGACGAGGGGCCCCUCUCGGGUUACCGAAUUCAGACAAACUCCGAAUGCCAAUUAAUUUAACUUGGGAGUCAGAACAUGGGUGAUAAGGUCCGUGUUCGAAAGGGAAACAGCCCAGACCACCAGCUAAGGUCCCAAAAUAUAUGUUAAGUGGAAAAGGAUGUGGCGUUGCCCAGACAACUAGGAUGUUGGCUUAGAAGCAGCCAUCAUUUAAAGAGUGCGUAAUAGCUCACUAGUCGAGUGACACUGCGCCGAAAAUGUACCGGGGCUAAACAUAUUACCGAAGCUGUGGAUUGUCCUUUGGACAAUGGUAGGAGAGCGUUCUAAGGGCGUUGAAGCAUGAUCGUAAGGACAUGUGGAGCGCUUA
rnacentral:rRNA from 1 species